rnacentral:rRNA from 1 species
AAUCCAUAGGUUAAUGAGGCGAACCGGGGGAACUGAAACAUCUAAGUACCCCGAGGAAAAGAAAUCAACCGAGAUUCCCCCAGUAGCGGCGAGCGAACGGGGAGGAGCCCAGAGCCUGAAUCAGCAUGUGUGUUAGUGGAAGCGUCUGGAAAGGCGCGCGAUACAGGGUGACAGCCCCGUACACAAAAGCGCAUGUGCUGUGAGCUCGAUGAGUAGGGCGGGACACGUGGUAUCCUGUCUGAAUAUGGGGGGACCAUCCUCCAAGGCUAAAUACUCCUGACUGACCGAUAGUGAACCAGUACCGUGAGGGAAAGGCGAAAAGAACCCCGGCGAGGGGAGUGAAAAAGAACCUGAAACCGUGUACGUACAAGCAGUGGGAGCCCCACCACCAAAGCAUUUGCUGUACCGCGUUGACGGAGCGAAGCGACGUCAAACCGAUAAAACAGCAGUGUAAAGUGAGCCGCAGGGCGCUUUGCGCGACAGCGCAAAGGCAGGCGGUUUCGCGUAGCGAAAGCGAAUGCUUUGGGGUGGGGUGACUGCGUACC